rnacentral:misc_RNA from 1 species
GAGGAGGAGGAGAGGGGGAAAGGUUUGGGGAUAGUGAAGGGAAUGUUGAUGGCCCAAAGUUUAAGGAUUUAGGAGGGAUGGAUGGAGUGUUGGAGGAACUGAAAAUGGAGGUGAUUGUUCCAUUGUACCAUCCUCAGCUGACUAAGCAUCUUGGAGUUAGGCCUAUGUCAGGGAUACUCUUACACGGGCCACCAGGCUGUGGUAAAACAAAACUAGCUCAUGCUAUUGCCAAUGAGACUCGAGUUCCAUUCUACAAACUAUCUGCUACUGAGUUGGUC